CAGCAGCCACGGGAAUACGGAGGAUCCAAGCGUUAUCCGGAUUUAUUGGGUUUAAAGGGUGCGUAGGUGGCCUGUUAAGUCAGGGGUGAAAGACGGUAGCUCAACUAUCGCAGUGCCCUUGAUACUGAUGGGCUUGAAUGAACUAGAGGUAGGCGGAAUGUGACAAGUAGCGGUGAAAUGCAUAGAUAUGUCACAGAACACCAAUUGCGAAGGCAGCUUACUAUGGUUUUAUUGACACUGAGGCACGAAAGCGUGGGGAUCAAACAGGAUUAGAUACCCGCGUAGUCCCUGUCUCUUAUAA
rnacentral:rRNA from 1 species